UGUCUGUGAGCCGGUGCCUUGCUGCUUCUCCUUCUGAUCCAUCGCCGUCUCUGCAUGGGCUGACUCCAAAUAUUUCUUUCUGUGUGGAGAGUAAGCAUUGUGUUAAAGAUUUUGCUUUAUCUGCUUAUCAAAAUGGACGGUGAAAGAGCAGCAGGUGUGCAGUUUAUUUUGAAUGUCUAGUCUGUACAGCACUAGGAUUUCAGGGGUGUCUAAUAAAGACCCUUGUCCUGCCAUACUGGGGAGGUACACCUUUGUUUUUUGCUAUUUUAUACAGUGAAGUCCUCCUGACUGUCCAGAUUCUAUAAGCUUUUUUUUUUUUUUUGUCUUCAUAUUUCUAAAUUUUUUUUUCUUUGUCAUUGUAAGUUUUUUACUUUUCGUGGGGACUUUGAGGAACACUUUUUAUAAAAAUGUGUUCAAGUGGCACUGUGACCUGUGUUUGCACAACUUCAGUCAUUGUGAACAUUCGGCCCAACUAUGGGUCAGGCCUAUAAAGCGGGAUGUUUGCUGGUAGGAUGGUGGUGUCUCGGCUAUUUCUGGUGAAUUUCCUCUUGACCGCUACGUGUGUCACUUGGCUGUGAACUGCUAGAGUGUGCAUCUGGUGUGACAUUUACGGUCUUGGAACUCUCCUGCUUAGAGUGACUCUGGUCAACUGCCCCCUUCCUUCAUCGUAAAACCCAAGUGGUGGUGACUGGUACUGAGUAAUGAACGGGUGCAGCAGUGGUGAGGUGUAAGCUGUGGAUUUUCCUACUAAUCAUGUGAACUUGUUUCUUGAAUUCACAAUCGCAUGAAGUGGACAAAAUUGGGUUCCUGCAGUUCUUGCUUGGCAAUAGAAGACCUGAGUUGAACCACUGCUUCUGUAGGCUAAGGUGAGCUGGAUGGGCAUGAGGUAGGAUGUAGACCUCUCCCUGGACACUUCCUGCCAACCACCCAAAUAGGUGUAUGUUGCACCCCUUCCUGGGAUGAGCUUAUUAUUCGUACCCAGGCCAGUGGUUCAUGAUUUGCCAGAUGGAACUUGAGACUCUUGGGUUCUGGGAGGACACUUUGAAAUGGCAACAUUCUACCCUUUGUCAACAAAAGAUGAGAGUUUAUAAAAAUGUGUAAGCUAUGACUUCUGGGAAGCAAAUGGAGGACCACAAAGGUGCAGGCACAAAUGAACUACACACAGACACAUACAGUCACACACUGAAGUAUGAAUUCAAGUGUCUUCCAUGUAAUGUUAUUUCACAGUGAUUGAGGUGAAGAGAUGAAUGAAAAAUGUACAUUAGAGCUUAGUGUGUGUUGUCUAAAAUUUUAAAAAUAGCAGAAAAUUUUGUAAACUGUCAUGUGAUCUUCAACUUGCAAAUUGUAAAGCGACAGGAUUAGCUACGGCUAGGGGUUUCAUUUCCAGGGUUUUGCACUUUGUGCGUCCACUGCAUCUGUCUGUGAUGAGUUGUCUGUCUUCUGUCCAAUCUGCAUGAUGUGCUAAUUGUCCUUUCUUCAUUUUAACCCUUCCCAAAGUUGUGCAUAUUGGACCAGUUUCCACUUUUAAACUGGUUAAAGACAAACGAGUGUGAAUUUGGACUGUCUAGUGCUGGCUUCAGACUUUACUACAAAGGCAGUGGGACCCUAAAAACCACAAGCCACUGGGGGAGUCAUAAAAAUACGUCCAAAUAAACUGCAGUAAAAGCUUAAAAUAUGAGAUGAGCUGCCCUGGAAUUCUUGCAUUGAAAGCAGUCCUUCAGUUGGGUCCCACUGGUGAGCUAGCAGCUUUGUGAGGUGGGUAGCAAAUGCAAAAGUUUUCCUCUGGCCUUGGAUUUGGUUCAAGAUCUCACACCGCAGAGGACAGAGGAACAGCACAAAAAGCAAGCAAGUCAUUGAGAUGAGGGGAACUGUUUGAUUCAUCUGCUGCUCCUAGUCAACACUGUUUCUGUUGUAUGGCUGCUACGUCUGACCAAUCUGUCCAUCAGUAGGUCGUUUUUAAAACUGUAGGCAUGUUUUAAUUCAUAACAUUUGCAGUUUGGCUAAAACAUACCUCAGCAGGAUUGUACAAUUAUUAUAAAUCUAAAGAUAAAAUGAUUAAGAGAACAAAAGUAUGAGCUGUAUCAGGUACAGUUGCUGCAAUCCUGUUAAUCGUGUAGUGAGAGAUCCACUGUGACUCCAUAAUACCACUACUGCCUUCUUUUAGUCAUGAGUAUUUUUUGGAAACAGAAAAGAAGCUCAUCUGUCUGAUGUAUCGUGUUUAUGCAACUACUGUGAUUUGUCAAUGUAAGCUAAGACCGAGUACUGGUACUGUUAGGCUGUAAGCAAAUUAGCAGUCAAAAUGAGGUACACUUGCAAUACACUUGAAACUGUGCUGAGAAGUCAUUGAGCAAGUUCUGUGAUCUGCCAUUCCCUUUGAUUCCUAUUUUUGUAAUCGGAUAUCCUCAAGGCAAGGAGAUCCAGCAACUACAGUGUUUCAGAUGGCCAUGCUGUCCCACUUGAAGGUGUAACAAAUAUGAAACCAUCGGAUGAUUGAGCCAAGGAUACAAAGCGAAGAAUGUGGAUUCUGUCCUAGCCAUGAAACAGACCAUUGGAAGUUGUGUGAGAAUAUGAUAACCCAGUCUACUUGUGCUUUGUAGAUUUAGAAGAAACUUUAAGUAUAUAAGCAUGUCCCUUGGCAUGUGGUGUGGGAGAUGCUGCUGGAAUAUGGGGGUUAGUGUCACUAUUGUAUGUAAUUUGUUCACUGUGGGUGGUGGAAGGGUUAACGAGAUGGCCUUGAUGGAUCCCAUUUUAUAGAUGUGUGGUGGGGUUUUUUUUUGUUUUUUUUAAUUUAAACUUUCAUGGACAUAUGAAGGUGCAGCUGGGGGUGGAAGAUUGUCUAGUUGGGAAAGGAAUGUCGUCUUGUCUCAUCAGUGACAUUUGAAAUGCACUCAAAUGAUCUGCUACAGGGAUGAGGAUCAUCCGCUCCUACUCUGUUGUCCUGAUUCUCUUUCAGAAAAGAGUGGAUUGCUCACUCCUGGGUUUGGAGAAUGACAUCUGCCCUUAAGGGAUUUUAAGUAUCUCUCAAUUUUCUUCAUUGGUGAUGGAAGAAGGAAAUUUUAAGAUCAACAAGCAGAUUAGAGUGUUGGCAGCUGUUCUGCAGGUGCUGUUUCAUAUGAGGUAAGGUUGACCAUCUCAUUGGGGAACCUGAAGAUAAAUUGUUCUAGACCAGAAGAGAGAUGGUACUGGCAAAUCUACCUAUGAGCAGCGCCCCAGAAGUGUGUGUUUGUUUUGUUUUUUUCUUUUUUCCAGUUUUUGUUAGAGAGAAUGGCAGUGCCUCAUCAUGCCUAUAUUGUGGCAUAUUUGUGGUGUGUUUUUUUUUCCUUUUUAAACUAGGAAGUGUGCCUGUGCAACCCUGCAGAUGAUUAUAGAGAACUGCCUCCAUUUCUUCUAAAAGGUAUUUUUGUAGCAGAUGGAAUUAAAUUGGGUUGCUUUGUGGUUAUUUCUUUUCUUCCCAAAGGGUCUCCUGUCUCCCAUUUAUAGUUGCUGUUGAUUUAGGUGGGAACAAAUACUCUUGGUGGGGGGGGAUUUGACAUUAUCUUGUGAAAAUAAAGUGAGGUAGACUUUAAAUUGGUAACCAACUAAUACUCAUUAAUGUACCUCCUAUAACUUAAAGGUCUUUUACACGGUAAAGUGACUGAACUACAGCUCUUCAGAUAGUGGACAGGGCAGUGUCCAGGUCUCGGUCAUGACCACACAAUUCACUGCAUAAUUGCAGAUUGUAGAGUAUGAAAGAGAGAAUACUGAGAAAUGCCUAGAGAUGAAAGACUGAUGCCAGUGUAAACUCUAAGAAGAACACCAGCUAUAUAAGACAACUGCAAAAUCUCCUCCUGGGUCUUUACUUUACUAGUCAACAUCCUUCCAUGGAGAUGUGAAUAAACUUUCAAGACAGACUUGGACAAAAAUGAGGCCGCCUAUCUUCUGGCUAAAGCUCCCCCAACAGUGUGACAUCUCUACCCAUAUGUGUUCAAAAACAGAUGCCCUUUAAAGAUCCCAAGAUGUUUGUUGACAUCCCUCAUGGACCAGAACAAUUAAACUGUCUUCUGAUCACCAUCACAUCCGUAACUAUUGUCUUCCAGCUGAGACAUUUGUAAUGCGGCUCCUUUUUCAUCUCUGAACCCAUAGGUGGUUUGUAUAGUGUCUUCGUAUUUGACUUCAUGCAAUUGUGACUUUGUAUAUUGUGAAGUGACUCUCUGGUUCAUGGUGCCAGUUGUUUAUUACGGACUUCUAGGAACUAUACAAGACAAUACUUGUGGCAGAUCAUGCAUUGCAGGUGAGCUUUUUAUUUGAUUCAGUUUGCCUUGUGUAAAAGGCAAAAUUUGUUUUCAUCAGACUGUUCCCUGUGAAACUAAUUACAUAUUGAAGAUGAACUUUUUGCUUAACUCUAUUACUACCACAUCUGAUAAUGAACCAUACCUGUUGCAUUUUGGACCCUGGUUAUGCUUUUGAGACUACAAUUUGUUUUUGCUCUACCAAAGUAACCUGAAAACAGAGCUACAACAAGCCUCCCCAUGCCUUUUUAUAUGGACUUAUUCAAAUAUUUUUCAAAUUCUCUGUAAAAUUGUGCUUUUGAUUAAGGAAGGCUUUGGUUAUAAUACUUGAAGACCAGCUUAUUAUUUUAAAUGGUAUAUGAAGCAUAAAGGCACAGGAUCACAGAAUACUGACAUAACCAUUAAGGAAUCCCACUGAGAAACUAGCAACUGUACAUUAUGCAGUGGUGGAUUUUUAGUUCUUCCUUCCUUUACCCCUAUUGGAUCAAGACUGAUGAUAUCCACCUGUCACAGCUUUCUCUAAAUUAAGUUGUUUUUUGUUUAAAAUAUUGUAUUUGACUGUACUGGACAUUAAUGCAGACGACGGCUCUUAAUUUACUGCAAAUUAUCAUUUUAACUUGUUUGUUACUUUGUAUAUCAAUUAAGGUGAAGUAUCCUUUAUAGUGCUGUACCUUUUUUGAAUGGUCAUUUAAUAUGUCAACUUUCUCAAACUUGUAAAAUGACCACAGCUCUUGUACUACUUUGUGUAUGUAAUGGUGUAUUAUGAAUUUGAGUUGUAAUAAGCAAGGGACCUUGCAAUAAUUUAGAUGCUGUUAUGAAUAUGUAAUUUUUUUUUUUUUUUCUGUUCUUGUUCAAACAAAAUUGUACUAAUGCUGGAUAUAUGCUAGAAAUGGUGGUACUGUAAGUUUCAGUAAGAAUAUGCAUUGUGAAAGUGUCAGUGAUCCAAUAGGACCCCAUAAUCUCAGACUGCAAUGCAGGCUGAAUGUGAGGUUGUAAUUUUGCUGUGGGUGGUGGUGUGUGGUUGUGGUUUUUUUUUUUUUUUGGUUUCCAACCCCCAUCGUAGUUUAAUAGACUGUAGCCUUGAACUGCUCCAACUUGUGGCAUUUUGGGGAUGUCCAGUUUCUCUUUAGAGAAUAUUUUGAGUAACUGGGACUGAAAGACGGUAUCCUAGAUUCCAAACUUUGAAUCCAUAUUGACAUAAGUCAAUACAAAUGUUGCAUUUUGUUUUUCUUUUUAAAUGCAGCUUUGACCUUGGUAUAAACUCUCAAGCAAGAAAUGAGUUGCCAUCACCAGACUUGCUGUCUUAGCCUCCUAUCACCAAUGGGGGUAUGUGAUUGAUUUCAGAUGUCGGUUAAACAGGAGCACCUUAUCACCAUGCUUCCCAGGUUCUUGGAUCACCUUUAUAAUGUACCAGGCAAGGCAACUUCCAACUCAUCAGCAAUUCUUUAACAACUCCCUAAUCCAGUGACCCCAGAAAAUGAAGAAAAAUCCUUUUGGCUGAUUACCUGUGGCUGUUCUACAAUCUUGACCAUAACUGAAGACAAUUGAAUCGUGGAAGGACAGGACAAGGAUGUUAACCUUUUUAGAUUUGGAGGAAUAAACCGUCCAUCUGCAUCACACUGUGCUGUGAACUGUUGUGACCGAUACUUUGAAUCACAGGCAGAUGAGAACAACAUCCCCAAAGAACAGACUCCUUCUCUGGUUGCUGAAAUGGCAUCGACCAUUGGCUAGAAAAUGUACCUGCAGGUUUGCACCUUUUGAGUAUCGUCCCUGUGAAGGGAAAAGUGCUCUUGAUUAUCUGAAAAGACAAAGCUGUUCUGCAUUUGAUGUUUAAGUACUUGCAUUGAGCUUGGCCAGGUCUCAUUAGGAGUUCUCCACCUCAUUGUUUUAUGUCUGACUUUUGAUAAUGGAAGCCACCCCCUCAGAAUGGUAUUGUGCAUUUCCUUAACCCUGUUUUUCAUAUUUGAUAACCCCUGAAUCACCUUGAGUAUCUAGUUCUUCGAGAAUCUCUAGCCAGGUCUCAGCCACGCUAUAGCUAGCAAACAGCCAAUUUAAAAAUUUCUUAGUGUUUGUAUCUCCCGCUUUUACAGUAUAGGUGUUUGACUUUACAAUACAAAUUUUGUUUGCCACAACCCCAUUGUAGCUGCCCAAAAAUCUCUAUCUUUAGCCUGCAACUAGCCAUACUGGCCUAUCUAUCAACUACCAAUGUAGCUACCACCACUUAACCUUGCUUGUAAACUCCUCCUUUGAUUUUCUAACUCUAAAGACAAGGUUUAAAGAGUAUUUACACAUCUAAAAACUAUUUAAUGGUUUGAUCUUUCAUCUAGGAGUUACAGUAAUGCAACUUUUCCUUGCACCAGAUUUGGAGUCUGUUCCAGACUGACAGGUGAAAGAGUAAACCUGCAUUUAACCAGUAAAGGAAAAAUGACACCCCAGCUGCUAAUGUUCCUAAAGCUGGUUUGAUGUAUUCAGAUCAGUUUCACAAACUGCUUAAAAUCUGGCACAUGAAGUGCUCCCAAUUUCCACAUCAUCACUCUUUUGUGCAAGGUCAAAUGGUAUCCCCAUACAGCAUUUUUAAAGCAAGUCACCGAAUCAGACACUAAGGAUCUACAAACCAAAUUAAAUUUUUGUAUUUGUAGUCUGGUAUCUGUUAGAGUAAUUUUUACAAUGGAUAACCCUCUUUAAAACACAACCUAGACCACAUCACUCAAAGCAUCACUUAACUGGACAAGUAAAACAACCCCAUUGUAUAGGAGCACUAUAAAUUGUGUGUUUUUUUUUUUUGAUGCAAAACUUGUGAAUGUUUGUUUUUAUACCUAAUUAUUAGAUUUCUUAUUAUGAAACCUUGCUUUGGAGAAACUUUUUCACUUUAAACGUUUAACCACUCCUGUAUUUAUUUUGAAUAGAGGAUUACGCUAGUCAUGGGACUAAUUAUUGUAAGCUUACUGUACUUUGACAGCCAAUACUUAAGUUAUUUUUUUGUGUUGGUCAUGAAAUCACAAACCUGAGAUCAGUCUUGAGAGAUUCUCUUACUCGGGCCAUGCACAACACGUGCUUUAUCAGUUACCAUAAUACCACCAAUUAGAUUGGUGUAGUAUUCAAGCCUUAUCUGAAAUGGGGAAACCGACACUUACCACUGGUAUUGGUUGAUAAGUAAUGUACAAGCUGCAUCUUCUAUCUGGACUCAAUCGAAAGGAGCUAUAUACGGGCAAAUGUUAGAAAAAGACUGGGCUGUUUUGAGCUUAAACCUUCAACAUGGAGGCUCUUGUGAUUUUAACUAAUUACCACUUUGAAGAAUGGAGUGAAAGCGCUGCAGUUUCUGCUUGUCUCUGAACAGAUUAAGUCUUUAUACUGGAAACCGUCCGUGGAAGUGUCCAAGAACUGCUUCUCCAUAGAAUUAAAUGGUGUAUAUACUCUCAAUGGACCCUGGCUUGCCACUUGACUAGAAGAAGCUGCUGUGAUGAUGAUGAUGGUUAUACAAUCCAAUGUAAAUGAAUACCUCUGCCUUUGAUGGGAAAAGUUUAGAAUGGCCAACAGCAUCGGAGCAGAAUCCACUGUAGAGCAGCUUUGAACAGAAUGAUGCAAAUGCUGAUGUAUUCACUUCAGCAAUCUUAGGAAUUUCUAAAUCCCAAAAACCCUGAUUUCAGAUGGUUCCAAAAACUAAGAUUUAUUUAUUUUUUUUAAUGCUCUAAACUGGAAAAGAAGCAGCGGUUAUCAGACAGGACCCGAAAGGGCAGAAUGAGAUCAUAUGCUUGGUCAUUUUUAUAGGGUGUAUAUAUAUUUUUUUAAAUACAUUCUGAAGUUUAAGGAGCAGGAGUUGAAUUUACACUCUUGAAUUUAAUCAGACUCUGGUCAAACUAUAAUGGAAAGUGUGUCUUGACAAGAUACUGAUUCACAGCCAAGGCUCAGAAAAUAUUCCAUUUUGGAAGCUCUCGUGUGGGGGGAAAAAUCCUGUUUUGUAAUGUGGUAGUGGUGGUUGGGAUUUUUUUUUAUACAGUUUUACAAUAGCUGUGUAACUUGCAACAAAUCUGCCAUGAUUCUUUAUUUUAGGAUAAAUGUAAGUAGCACUGCACUACUUGGUCUCAACUGCUAUCAUUUAAAUCAAAUUAAAUGCAGCAUAGAACUAAUUUUAAAAAGUUCAGAACCAGUUAGUGCUUGUGUAUGUCCUUAUUUAUUCAAAUAUUUAUAAAGUUUGGAGGUGGGGAGAAAUGCUACUCACUGUGCUAUGGUUGAUACUAUAUAGUUAAAGUGGUUUGUGGUGUUUUUUUUUUUUUUUUUCCCCUCCCCCCUUGUGCUCUAGAGAUUCUGGACAAUAACCCCUGUAAAAACAAGUAAUAUUUUUACAGUCUGAAAAAAUUGCUUCUGUGUGUGCAAAUAUUGUUUAAUGUUGAAGUAAUGUGAGUUUUGACCAACAGUCCCAUGUGAUGUACCUGCGCUGUGCGAAAUAUGAAAACUUGCAUGCAAUUAUUUAGUUUAAGCAAUAUGUAGUCAGUCUGCUAUGUUGACUCUUGGAGGUACUGGAGUUGUUCCUAAUGUGGUACCAGGUCAGGGGAAGGUGCAAACCCUCCUCUGGUCCUGGCCAAGUCGCCACUCCAGCCAU